GUGAGCUUGGCUGGGAUUUGUGGAGAAGAGCUGGGCUUUUGCAAAGGCAGAUGGAAUGGUGCUGAACUUUGCUCUCUGAGGGACAUAGCAGGACCAAUAUGCAAAGAGCGUGUGAAUUACAUGGAGUGCCGGCCUCUUUAGCAGUUUAUUGUUGUUCUUCCUGGAGGAGCUGCCUUGCAGUAGGUGUAAAACCUCAAUGAACAUUUCUCUGAAUGUCUUCUGUCCCUCCUGAGGACCUUCACUUCAGCCUUUGAACUCCUGGCACACAAAACUUAAGGACAUCAUGAAACACAUCAGGAGGAUUUGUUAAAAUGAAUGAAUUUUCCAGUGGGCAAUGCACACCUGAGAGAAAAUCCUUGAGCUCAGUGGAGGAACUGCUUGGAGUAGCUGUCUGGAAUACUAAGCUCUUAGUUCACACAGGGAUGAUGAACUGCUUUGUGAUCUCUCUGGAGUGUGGAGUCUGAUGGGGUAACUGGACAGUGUCAGACACAGUACAGCAACUUUGUGCUCUUCUGCUCAGACCAAGAAAUGAGGUAAGGUGUGUACCACAGCCAGCUUUCAUAAUGCAGCUUUAAAAA
rnacentral:lncRNA from 1 species